rnacentral:rRNA from 1 species
AUACGGAGGGGACUAGCGUUGUUCGGAAUUACUGGGCGUAAAGCGUACGUAGGCGGAUCAGAAAGUAUGGGGUGAAAUCCCAGGGCUCAACCCUGGAACUGCCUCAUAAACUCCUGGUCUUGAGUUCGAGAGAGGUGAGUGGAAUUCCGAGUGUAGAGGUGAAAUUCGUAGAUAUUCGGAGGAACACCAGUGGCGAAGGCGGCUCACUGGCUCGAUACUGACGCUGAGGUACGAAAGCGUGGGUAGCAAACGGGAUUAGAAACCCUAGUAGUCC